rnacentral:rRNA from 1 species
AACGUAGGAGGCGAGCGUUAUCCGGAUUUACUGGGCGUAAAGGGCACGCAGGCGGCCGGAUGAGUCGGACGUGAAAGCUCCUGGCUUAACUGGGAGAGGUCGUUCGAUACUGUUCGGCUUGAGGUAGGGAGAGGGGUGCGGAAUUCCCGGUGUAGUGGUGGAAUGCGUAGAUAUCGGGAGGAACACCAGUGGCGAAAGCGGCACCCUGGCCCACACCUGACGCUGAGGUGCGAAAGCGUGGGUAGCAAACAGG